AUGGCGGCUAAGUCCAAAUGGCCUGACGGAAGGAAAAAAGACAAGGAUACAAAGACCGACGACAAUGAUAUCAAAGAAUCACUUGAAGCAAUCAUGAAUGCAAGGAAGAUGUAUGCCGGGGAGAAGAAACUUUUGAAGAUAAAAGAGAUGGAGGAGAAGGCAGUGGUUGAACUCUGGAAGGCGGCGGCCAAGGAGAAAAGGGCGGCGACUAAGAAGAUGUUGGCAGCGGCUAAGGGGAAGAAGGUGGAGGAUGAGCACCAUAGGGUGCAACUAGAGGAGAGGAAGGCGGCGGCCGAGGAGGGUGUAUUACCUCACCAUGAGGGCCCGGACUAA
rnacentral:rRNA from 1 species